rnacentral:rRNA from 1 species
CGAUAUCGACGAGUUUGAUCAUGCCUCAGAAUCAACGCUGGCGGCGUGCCUCAGACAUGCAAGUCGAACGAUUAAAGCUCUCUUCGGAGAGUGCAUAGAGUGGCGCACGGGUGAGUAACACGUAAGUAAUCUACCUUCGAGUGGGGAAUAACGUCCGGAAACGGGCGCUAAUACCGCAUAAUGCAGCGGCAUCGCAAGAUGACAGUUGUUAAAGGAGCAAUCCGCUUGAAGAGGAGCUUGCGGCAGAUUAGCUAGUUGGUAGGGUAAUGGCCUACCAAGGCUACGAUCUGUAACCGGUCUUAGAGGACGGUCGGUCACACUGACACUGAAUAACGGGUCAGACUCCUACGGGAGGCAGCAGUCGGGAAUUUUGGGCAAUGGGCGAAAGCCUGACCCAGCAACGCCGCGUGAAGGAUGAAGUAUUUCGGUAUGUAAACUUCGAAAGAAUAGGAAGAAUUAAUGACGGUACUAUUUAUAAGGUCCGGCUAACUACGUG